GGGCGGCGGGGUGCUUACACAUGCAAGUCGAACGAUGAUGCCCAGCUUGCUGGGUGGAUUAGUGGCGAACGGGUGAGUAACACGUGAGUAACCUGCCCCUGACUCUGGGAUAAGCGUUGGAAACGACGUCUAAUACUGGAUAUGAUCACUGGCCGCAUGGUCUGGUGGUGGAAAGAUUUUUUGGUUGGGGAUGGACUCGCGGCCUAUCAGCUUGUUGGUGAGGUAAUGGCUCACCAAGGCGACGACGGGUAGCCGGCCUGAGAGGGUGACCGGCCACACUGGGACUGAGACACGGCCCAGACUCCUACGGGAGGCAGCAGUGGGGAAUAUUGCACAAUGGGCGAAAGCCUGAUGCAGCAACGCCGCGUGAGGGAUGACGGCCUUCGGGUUGUAAACCUCUUUUAGUAGGGAAGAAGCGAAAGUGACGGUACCUGCAGAAAAAGCACCGGCUAACUACGUGCCAGCAGCCGCGGUAAUACGUAGGGUGCAAGCGUUGUCCGGAAUUAUUGGGCGUAAAGAGCUCGUAGGCGGUUUGUCGCGUCUGCUGUGAAAUCCCGAGGCUCAACCUCGGGCUUGCAGUGGGUACGGGCAGACUAGAGUGCGGUAGGGGAGAUUGGAAUUCCUGGUGUAGCGGUGGAAUGCGCAGAUAUCAGGAGGAACACCGAUGGCGAAGGCAUAUCUCUGGGCCGUAACUGACGCUGAGGAGCGAAAGCAUGCC
rnacentral:rRNA from 1 species